rnacentral:rRNA from 1 species
CUGGUGCCAGCAGCCGCGGUAAUUCCAGCUCCAAUAGCGUAUAUUAAAGUUGUUGCAGUUAAAAGCUCGUAGUUGAAUUUCGGAAUCUGUCCAUCGGUCGGGCUUUAUUGUCCGUACUGGUGUGGUGGGUUCUUACCUUCUGAAUAACCAGCAUGCCAUUUAUUUGGUGCGUUGGGGAAGCAGGACUAUUACCUUGAAAAAAUUAGAGUGCUCAAAGCAGGCUAGUGCCUGAAUACAUUAGCAUGGAAUAAUAAAAUAGGACGGCAUGGUUCUAUUUUGUUGGUUUCUAGGAUCACCGUAAUGAUUAAUAGGGAUAGUUGGGGGCAUUAGUAUUCAAUUGUCAGAGGUGAAAUUCUUGGAUUUAUUGAAGACUAACUUCUGCGAAAGCAUUUGCCAAGGAUGUUUUCAUUAAUCAAGAACGAAAGUUAGGGGAUCGAAGACGAUCAGAUACCGUCGUAGUCUUAACCAUAAACUAUGCCGACUAGGGAUCGGACGAUGUUAAUUUUUUAAUGACUCGUUCGGCGCCUUACG